GUUACAUUGCAGAGGGGGGCCCAGCAGCACACACUGUCUUCCUUUCCAGUUCCUUUCUGACGAACUCUCGCGAGACCGGCCUGCGUGCUGUGCGGAGCGUUGCCAUGGUAACAACGUUCUGGCAGCCGCAGGAGAGUUAGAAAGAGAGGAGCUGGAAGGAGGACAGAGUGUGCUGCUGGGCCCCCCUCUCCAAUUUA